CUGAAUCACCUGGUGCGCAAUGCUUGUCUGUAGCUAAUGAUCAAAUUCAGCAGCCUGAAUCGCAUAGAGUGCGAUGCUUGUCUGUAGCUAAUGAUCAAAUUCAGCAGCCUGAAUCACCUGGUAUGCAAUGCUUGUCUGUAGGUAAUGAUCAAAUUCAGCCGCCUGAAUCACCUAGUGUGCAAUGCUUGUCUGUAGCUAAUGAUCCAAUUCAGCAGCCGGAAUCACCUAGUUUGCAAUGCUUGUCUGUAGCUGAUGAUCAAAUUCAGCAGCCUGAAUCACCUGGUGCGCAAUGCUUGUCUGUAGCUAAUGAUCAAAUUCGGCAGCCUGAAUCACAUAGAGUGCGAUGCUUGUCUGUAGCUAAUGAUCAAAUUCAGCAGCCUGAAUCACCUGGUAUGCAAUGCUUGUCUGUAGGUAAUGAUCAAAUUCAGCCUCCUGAAUCAUCUAGUGUGCAAUGCUUGUCUGUGGCUAAUAAUCAAACCUUGGAUACUGCUAGUGUGAGUAGAAUCAACUCUCAUAU
rnacentral:lncRNA from 1 species